rnacentral:rRNA from 1 species
UACGGAGGGUGCAAGCGUUGUUCGGAAUUAUUGGGCGUAAAGGGCGUGUAGGCGGUUUGGUAAGUUGGAUGAGUAAACCCCGUGCUUAACCCGGGAAGUGCAUUCGAGACUGCCUUUCUUGAGUAUGGGAGAGGAGAGUGGAAUUCCCAGUGUAGAGGUGAAAUUCGUAGAUAUUGGGAGGAACACCCGUGGCGAAGGCGACUCUCUGGACCAAUACUGACGCUGAGACGCGAAAGCGUGGGUAGCAAACAGG